UUGCUCACUUUGGCAGUAUGUAAACUAAAAUUUGAACAAUGCAGAGGUUAGCAUGGCUCCUUUAAAAGGAUGGCAUGCAAAUUCAUGAAACAUUCCAUAUUUUU
ensembl:snRNA U6 U6 spliceosomal RNA